UUUCUUUGGUUUUUUGUUUUUUAGUAAUUUUCAGCCCACCACCGCUAUCACCAUCGCCAUCGCUAUCGCCGGAUUGUCAUUAUCUGAAAUUGAAAUUUUGUGCUCCAAUUUUAAAUGCUUUUCAUGACCAUACUUUCUUGUUUGUGGGUUUAGUUCAGGUUAAUAAUGGUAGAUUAUUUGUUCGGUUCUCUUAUUUUUUGUGUUGCUGAAACAUUGGUUGUGAGUUCGGAUAGGUUAGAAAUACAUUUGAAAGAAAAAAGUUCCGUUUUCGCUAAUGCCCAAAAUGUAUUUGUAAAAAUGGCAAAGCAAACGAAUUUCCGAAACGUAUUUCCUAAUUGCUCAAGUUGGGAAGGUUUCUGGAUAUGCAUUUCAAAUUUAUGGAUUACUCUUAGUUGCAAAUUUUAUUUCAGCAUAAUUCGUAGAUUUUUUGCAUCUCUUUGGUUUCUGAAAAAAAGAAGCAUGAAAGUUGUACUUUGGUUGAAAUACUUCAGAACUCCUACAGAGUCUUUUCCUGUGGAGUAUUAAUGUUUUGGGAAUAAUUGCAGACUGAAGUUUGAAGGAACUAUGGAAAAGAAUGAGGUUUUGUUUUUGUUUCUUCAAUAACUCAUAAUUGAAGCCUAAGUGCUUAAUUUUGUAAAAUGUAUUGUGGCGUACUGGACCUAAAUUGUCUAGUCAGUCUUUAGUCUUUGAACGGAUCUAGUCAUAAUUUGACAUGAAUUAUUAUUAUGUAUUGAUUAGUUCAGGCAAAUUGAAAGUCAUACCAUUGCUUGAGUAUCGAAGAUGAGGCAUUACGGCUUAAGGACUAAGUGCUGUUGUUGAUCCUAAUGCAACGAAAUACUAUGUGAUUAACUCUUUACUCUCUUUCAAAUUAAUCUCUGAUUUUUCAGCAUGACAGGUAUGGAUCUCACGUCUCAGUGGCGCAUACUCGCUUCGUACGGCCUCUAAUUGAUUAUUUAGUGUCAUUGAAUGUUAUGCAAUUAAGCAAUUACUACCAGUGGACAAGGUUUGAAUUAUUUGUGGCUUUCUUGUGACUGGCGACAAUGAGCCUUGGUUAGAGAAGGCUUUCUCGUCUUUCAAGUGCAUCAUUCACAUAUAAAUGAGUUGAAAAUCAACCAGUGCCAAAGUCUACUCACCAGAUUACUAUAUCUAAUGCAAUUAUUGUUCUUUUGUGUUUAAGGAGGAACUAUGGGAUCUUCUUCCAUGUGCUUGUGUGGCAGGGUCGUCUUAGCUGUCUUGCUUCCACCAUGGGCUGGCAGUGAAUACCAAUAACAUCACUUUGGUACGUAAGUUAAAAGGAAAAAUCAUUUUGGCUUUUUCAGUAACUAAGAUAUUGCAUUCCGUAGUCUUGCUUACUUUGCUCCAAAUUGAGAAGUGGGUACGUGAGUUUCUUCCUUGUGUCAUUUGUUCUAUUCCAACCUGUUAAGCCUAAUACAUGAGAGUUGAUGAAUUAUUUCCCCACGAUCACGAUUGUAGAUUCUAUUGCUCUCCUCUUAUAUAUUUAUUAUCCUUAACGAUAUGCUAAGCAGAUUAAAUUGCCAUCAGUUUCAUGAUAUAUAAAUGCAUGAAACAAGGAUUCAAGUUUUACCGAACAAGAAAGAGUUGGGAUUUAUGUUUUAGAUUCUUGAACUUCAGUUGAGAAUAGAAAUAACUAGAAACUGUUAUUGGAUGACAAAUUCUUUUGUGUGCUGAUCAUUUUUCACCUAGUGUGAUCGCUUUUGAGAAACAAAUUUGAGUCUUCUGCAUGCAUUUGUCUGUUUUGCCUCUCCACUUUUCUCAAUUUUUCUUUCUUAGAAUUUCCUGGUGGUACUAGACACGAAGGUUGAGAAUACAAUUUUUCAUUUAAGUGCAGCCUGAUGAUGGUGGGGUUGCAUUGAGUGGGAUUUAUUUGGGAUUAAGGGGCUCUUGCGAAAAUAUACUCAUUUAUGCUAUGGGAUUACUUGGGGGGACUAAUGUGGUCUAGCCCAAAUUGGUGCCGCCCAAUUCUAUGAUGUAACAUAACGCCCCAUUUGUGGUACUUUGAACACAUGGAUAUAUUUCAGGUCCAUCUUAGUCUCUUCAGUUCAUAAAUACAGUGGUAAAGAAAGAAAUUGGCUGCCUGAUAGGAAUCUCAAUCACGGAAGAUUGGAGAAUUACUACUGGCUGAUAACUGGAAUACAAGUAGUAAAUGUGAUUUAUUAUCUAGUAUGUGCUUGGUUUUAUACCCAUGAACCAUUGGAUUUGGCUGCUGAAAGCAGGGAUGCAAUGGAUUUGGAGUUAGCAAAGGGGAGAAUUUUACCUAUUGAUUCUAGUGUAAAGGCAGAAACAGAACAAGAGAGAUAUAUAUGGUGGAGGAAGCAUGAAUUUGUUCCUUUUAUUGUGCUGUGCUAGGGCACUUUAAUUAGAUUCUCAGUGCCAAGUUCCCAUUUACUUUCAACUGCCACUUCCAAGAUCUUGCUCUCUCA